rnacentral:rRNA from 1 species
GGGCCCGCACAAGCGGUGGAGUAUGUGGUUUAAUUCGAUGCAACGCGAAGAACCUUACCAGGGUUUGACAUCCUGCGAAUCUCUUGGAAACAGGAGAGUGCCUUCGGGAACGCAGUGACAGGUGGUGCAUGGCUGUCGUCAGCUCGUGUCGUGAGAUGUUGGGUUAAGUCCCGCAACGAGCGCAACCCACGUCUUUAGUUGCCAGCAUUUAGUUGGGCACUCUAGAGAGACUGCCGGUGAUAAACCGGAGAAGGUGUGGAUGACGUCAAGUCAUCAUGCCCCUUACAUCUGGGCUACACACGUACUACAAUGGGUGUGACAAAAAGUUGCCAGUUUGUGAAAACGCGCUAAUCUUUAAACACAUCCCCU